rnacentral:rRNA from 1 species
UUAAGGGCGCACGGUGGAUGCCUUGGCACUAGAAGCCGAUGAAGGACGUUACUAACGACGAUAUGCUUUGGGGAGCUGUAAGUAAGCUUUGAUCCAGAGAUUUCCGAAUGGGGAAACCCAGCAUGAGUUAUGUCAUGUUAUCGAUAUGUGAAUACAUAGCAUAUCAGAAGGCACACCCGGAGAACUGAAACAUCUUAGUACCCGGAGGAAGAGAAAGAAAAUUCGAUUCCCUUAGUAGCGGCGAGCGAAACGGGAAGAGCCCAAACCAACAAGCUUGCUUGUUGGGGUUGUAGGACACUCUAUACGGAGUUACAAAGGACGACAUUAGACGAAUCAUCUGGAAAGAUGAAUCAAAGAAGGUAAUAAUCCUGUAGUCGAAAAUGUUGUCUCUCUUGAGUGGAUCCUGAGUACGACGGAGCACGUGAAAUUCCGUCGGAAUCUGGGAGGACCAUCUCCUAAGGCUAAAUACUCUCUAGUGACCGAUAGUGAACCAGUACCGUGAGGGAAAGGUGAAAAGCACCCCGGAAGGGGAGUGAAAUAGAACCUGAAACCGUGUGCUUACAAGUAGUCAGAGCCCGUUAAUGGGUGAUGGCGUGCCUUUUGUAGAAUGAACCGGCGAGUUACGAUUUGAUGCAAGGUUAAGCAGUAAAUGUGGAGCCGUAGCGAAAGCGAGUCUGAAUAGGGCGUUUAGUAUUUGGUCGUAGACCCGAAACCAGGUGAUCUACCCUUGGUCAGGUUGAAGUUCAGGUAACACUGAAUGGAGGACCGAACCGACUUACGUUGAAAAGUGAGCGGAUGAACUGAGGGUAGCGGAGAAAUUCCAAUCGAACCUGGAGAUAGCUGGUUCUCUCCGAAAUAGCUUUAGGGCUAGCCUCAAGUGAUGAUUAUUGGAGGUAGAGCACUGUUUGGACGAGGGGCCCCUCUCGGGUUACCGAAUUCAGACAAACUCCGAAUGCCAAUUAAUUUAACUUGGGAGUCAGAACAUGGGUGAUAAGGUCCGUGUUCGAAAGGGAAACAGCCCAGACCACCAGCUAAGGUCCCAAAAUAUAUGUUAAGUGGAAAAGGAUGUGGCGUUGCCCAGACAACUAGGAUGUUGGCUUAGAAGCAGCCAUCAUUUAAAGAGUGCGUAAUAGCUCACUAGUCGAGUGACACUGCGCCGAAAAUGUACCGGGGCUAAACAUAUUACCGAAGCUGUGGAUUGUCCUUUGGACAAUGGUAGGAGAGCGUUCUAAGGGCGUUGAAGCAUGAUCGUAAGGACAUGUGGAGCGCUUAGAAGUGAGAAUGCCGGUGUGAGUAGCGAAAGACGGGUGAGAAUCCCGUCCACCGAUUGACUAAGGUUUCCAGAGGAAGGCUCGUCCGCUCUGGGUUAGUCGGGUCCUAAGCUGAGGCCGACAGGCGUAGGCGAUGGAUAACAGGUUGAUAUUCCUGUACCACCUAUAAUCGUUUUAAUCGAUGGGGGGACGCAGUAGGAUAGGCGAAGCGUGCGAUUGGAUUGCACGUCUAAGCAGUAAGGCUGAGUAUUAGGCAAAUCCGGUACUCGUUAAGGCUGAGCUGUGAUGGGGAGAAGACAUUGUGUCUUCGAGUCGUUGAUUUCACACUGCCGAGAAAAGCCUCUAGAUAGAAAAUAGGUGCCCGUACCGCAAACCGACACAGGUAGUCAAGAUGAGAAUUCUAAGGUGAGCGAGCGAACUCUCGUUAAGGAACUCGGCAAAAUGACCCCGUAACUUCGGGAGAAGGGGUGCUCUUUAGGGUUAACGCCCAGAAGAGCCGCAGUGAAUAGGCCCAAGCGACUGUUUAUCAAAAACACAGGUCUCUGCUAAACCGUAAGGUGAUGUAUAGGGGCUGACGCCUGCCCGGUGCUGGAAGGUUAAGAGGAGUGGUUAGCUUCUGCGAAGCUACGAAUCGAAGCCCCAGUAAACGGCGGCCGUAACUAUAACGGUCCUAAGGUAGCGAAAUUCCUUGUCGGGUAAGUUCCGACCCGCACGAAAGGCGUAACGAUUUGGGCACUGUCUCAACGAGAGACUCGGUGAAAUCAUAGUACCUGUGAAGAUGCAGGUUACCCGCGACAGGACGGAAAGACCCCGUGGAGCUUUACUGUAGCCUGAUAUUGAAAUUCGGCACAGCUUGUACAGGAUAGGUAGGAGCCUUUGAAACGUGAGCGCUAGCUUACGUGGAGGCGCUGGUGGGAUACUACCCUAGCUGUGUUGGAUUUCUAACCCGCACCACUUAUCGUGGUGGGAGACAGUGUCAGGCGGGCAGUUUGACUGGGGCGGUCGCCUCCUAAAAGGUAACGGAGGCGCUCAAAGGUUCCCUCAGAAUGGUUGGAAAUCAUUCAUAGAGUGUAAAGGCAUAAGGGAGCUUGACUGCGAGACCUACAAGUCGAGCAGGGUCGAAAGACGGACUUAGUGAUCCGGUGGUUCCGCAUGGAAGGGCCAUCGCUCAACGGAUAAAAGCUACCCCGGGGAUAACAGGCUUAUCUCCCCCAAGAGUUCACAUCGACGGGGAGGUUUGGCACCUCGAUGUCGGCUCAUCGCAUCCUGGGGCUGUAGUCGGUCCCAAGGGUUGGGCUGUUCGCCCAUUAAAGCGGUACGCGAGCUGGGUUCAGAACGUCGUGAGACAGUUCGGUCCCUAUCCGUCGUGGGCGUAGGAAAUUUGAGAGGAGCUGUCCUUAGUACGAGAGGACCGGGAUGGACAUACCUCUGGUGUACCAGUUGUCGUGCCAACGGCAUAGCUGGGUAGCUAUGUGUGGACGGGAUAAGUGCUGAAAGCAUCUAAGCAUGAAGCCCCCCUCAAGAUGAGAUUUCCCAACUUCGGUUAUAAGAUCCCUCAAAGAUGAUGAGGUUAAUAGGUUCGAGGUGGAAGCAUGGUGACAUGUGGAGCUGACGAAUACUAAUCGAUCGAAGACUUAAUC